rnacentral:rRNA from 1 species
AGCAGCCGCGGUAAUUCCAGCUCCAAUAGCGUAUAUUAAAGUUGUUGCAGUUAAAAAGCUCGUAGUUGAAUUUCGGGAUUGACGUGAUGGUCGUGCCUUACGGGGUAUGAACUGUUGCUGUUGAUUUCUCACCUUCUGGAGAAACUUGAUGUCCUUAAUUGGGUGUCUUGCGGAUCCAGGACCUUUACCUUGAAAAAUUAGAGUGUUUAAAGCAGGCAUUUUUGCUCGAAUACAUUAGCAUGGAAUAAUAGAAUAAGACGGCAUGGUUCUAUUUUGUUGGUUUCUAGGAUCACCGUAAUGAUUAAUAGGGAUAGUUGGGGGCAUUAGUAUUCAAUUGUCAGAGGUGAAAUUCUUGGAUUUAUUGAAGACUAACUACUGCGAAAGCAUUUGCCAAGGAUGUUUUCAUUAAUCAAGAACGAAAGUUAGGGGAUCGAAGACGAUCAGAUACCGUCGUAGUCUUAACCAUAAACUAUGCCGACUAGGAAUCAGACGAUGUUAAUUUUUAAUGACUCGUUUGGUA